rnacentral:lncRNA from 1 species
GGUUCUUAAUUACUUUUUGUCAGAUGCCUCAAACCUGCUGUUCCUUCCGUCGUUCAGGUGCAUUUAAACAUCCAAAGUAAACUAUAUCUGGUUUUUCUUUUAAUGUUGGUCCUUACGGCAACUGUGUUGCUUUUACUGCAGUUUCUCUACCAAGCAUCAGUGAAACACCCCAGAUACAUAUGUGUGUAUAUUACCAUCAUUACCUACCUAAAACGUUAUCUACAUUACUAUUGGGCUGUUAUGAAUUACAAAGCAACACCUACCAGUUGCUGAAUAUUUUGAAGGUUGACUGGAUUGUAUAACUAUUGAGAAUCAAAAGUCAUAACAGUGAAUACACUGGAACAAAUGCUAUAUUUGAUAAUGGUAAAUCUUUUAGAUUCUGUGACUAUGAAACAAAGAAAUCAUGUUAACAAAAGAAUCUUGUAAAUUAUACAACUGUAAAGGACAAAAUUAUAUACACUUCCAGACGAACAAUUAUAUAUCAUUAUUUCUCUGAAAGAAUUUAACUUAUAUUGGUGUUUGAAGAUUUUCAAUAAAUUGUGUGAUGCCAACUACAGGUUCAUCUCUACUCAAAGAAAACAUGUUCGAAAUAAUUAACAUAACACAUUGCUCAUUAUGAGUAUUUUGCUUUAUAAACUUUCCAGAGUGUUUCUCUGAACUAGUGGAACCUACAAACCUUGUAUGUAUAUAUAUAUAUAUAUAUAUAUAUAUAUAUAUAUAUAUAUAUAUAUAUAUACAUAUAUAUCAGACCGAAUAAACUCAGGGCAUGGUAUUCUAAAAUAAUGGUAAAACGAAUUCUGGGAUGUAGUAUGAUUAAUCUAAGUAAUUGCCAUACUUUCUAGGAAGAUUUCCUUGGACACCCUAAAAUAAAGAAUCAAAAAGUCUUGUUUCAGAAUAUUUAAAAAAAUAAAAUAUAAAAAUGGAAAAAUAUAUGCUGUGACACUUAGCUAGUCUCCUUUGAAUUAUUUAUGCAUAUAUGCACACAUACACACAACCACAUACACGCAUACAAGCAUAAUUUUUUUAAACCCUGAGUAUCAUACUUGCAGAAAGGUACAUGGAUAAUGUUUAAGUUUUGUUGGACAGAGUGUUUAAAUGAUUGUGUGUGUGUAUAAAAUAUAUAUACACACAAAGUAUUUCAUGAAUACUAUUUAAUCAUUGUCUACUCUUUAAUACUUUCUCCACCCCAUGUACCAUUGGUUGUUCAAAUUGUACAGCCUCUCUGACAAUAUCUGCUUUUGCCUUUCUAUUUAAUAUCCACUAAAAUAAUUUCUAAUUCAACCUAUCAUUUCUGGACAUAAAUUUUCUUUUAAUUACUGUCCGUUAUUUUUUUAUAAGCUUCUGACCUAAAGUCUUUCAAGUGAAUUGUCAUUUUUGUUAACGUCCACUAAUCCAUUAUUACAUUUUAGGAUUACUAAAAACUGAUUUAUUCCUGCCAGAAGAUUAAAUUCUUGAUGGAUUGGUUGGAAAUAUGCAGUACUUAAUAAAAAUUUUUAAAAAACAGUUUUUAGGUAAUGACUAUUAUCACUAUAAUAUUGUUCACGUUUCAGCAUAUGCACCAAUUCCUCUAAAAGUUCAACAUUGUAAAAAAAAAAUUUUUUUAGACUUUCUCAUUUCCCUAUGCUAAUUAAGCAAUUGUUUUGUAAUUGGUAUGUACAAUCAUACCAUCCUUAACACACACACACACACACACAAAAACUCA